CGUAGGGUGCGAGCGUUAAUCGGAAUUACUGGGCGUAAAGCGUGCGCAGGCGGUUAUAUAAGACAGAUGUGAAAUCCCCGGGCUCAACCUGGGAACUGCAUUUGUGACUGUAUAGCUAGAGUACGGCAGAGGGGGAUGGAAUUCCGCGUGUAGCAGCGAAAUGCGUAGAUAUGCGGAGGAACACCGAUGGCGAAGGCAAUCCCCUGGGCCUGUACUGACGCUCAUGCACGAAAGCGUGGGGAGCAAACAGGAUUAGAUACCCUGGUAGCCCACGCCCUAAACGAUGUCAACUGGUUGUUGGGUCUUCACUGACUCAGUAACGAAGCUAACGCGUGAAGUUGACCGCCUGGGGAGUACGGCCGCAAGGUUG
rnacentral:rRNA from 1 species